UACGUAGGGGGCAAGCGUUGUCCGGAAUCAUUGGGCGUAAAGCGCGUGUAGGCGGCUUGGUAAGUCCGUUCUGAAAGCCCGGGGCUCAACCCCGGGAGGCGGAUGGAUACUGUCAAGCUUGAGUCCGGAAGAGGCGAGUGGAAUUCCCGGUGUAGCGGUGAAAUGCGCAGAUAAUCGGGAGGAACACCAAUGGCGAAGGCAGCUCGCUGGGACGUGACUGACGCUGGAGACGCGAAAGCGUGGGGAGCAAACAGGG
rnacentral:rRNA from 1 species